GUGUGUAGGCGGCUUUCUAAGUUUGUUGUGAAAUCUCCCGGCUUAACCGGGAGGGUGCGGCGAAGACUGGAAGGCUAGAGUAUGGGAUGGGAGAGUGGAAUUCCUGGUGUAGCGGUGAAAUGCGUAGAUAUCAGGAGGAACACCUGCGGUGUAGACGGCUCUCUGGACCAUUACUGACGCUGAGACACGAAAGCGUGGGUAGCAAACAGGAUUAGAUACCCUGGUAGUCCACGCCCUAAACGAUGCAUAUUUGGUGUGGGCCAUUCAUUUGGUCUGUGCCGGAGCUAACGCGUUAAAUAUGCCGCCUGGGGAGUACAGUCGCAAGGCUGAAACUCAAAGGAAUUGACGGGGGCCCGCACAAGCGGUGGAGCAUGUGGUUCAAUUCGACGCAACGCGAAGAACCUUACCUAGGCUCGAAAUGCUUGGGACCAUCCCUGGAAACAGGGACUUCUCGCAAGAGACUCAAGUAUAGGUGCUGCAUGGCUGUCGUCAGCUCGUGUCGUGAGAUGUUGGGUUAAGUCCCGCAACGAGCGCAACCCUUGUCCUGUGUU
rnacentral:rRNA from 1 species